rnacentral:miRNA from 1 species
UGUGUGUGUGUGUGUGUGUGUGUGUAUGUGGGUGGAUUCUCUCUCUCUCUCUCUCUCUCACACACACACACACACACACACACACACA